rnacentral:rRNA from 1 species
CCUACGGGUGGCAGCAGUGAGGAAUCUUGGUCAAUGGACGAGAGUCUGAACCAGCCACGUAGCGUGAAGGAUGACUGCCCUAUGGGUUGUAAACUUCUUUUAUAUGGGAAUAAAAUGUUCCACGUGUGGGAUUUUGUAUGUACCAUAUGAAUAAGGAUAGGCUAACUCCGUGCCAGCAGCCGCGGUAAUACGGAGGAUACGAGCGUUAUCCGGAUUUAUUGGGUUUAAAGGGAGCGUAGGUGGGUUGUUAAGUCAGUUGUGAAAGUUUGCGGCUCAACCGUAAAAGUGCAGUUGAAACUGGUAGUCUUGAGUACAGUAGAGGUGGGCGGAAUUCGUGGUGUAGCGGUGAAAUGCUUAGAUAUCACGAAGAACUCCGAUUGCGAAGGCAGUUCACUGGACUGCAACUGACACUGAGGCUCGAAAGUGUGGGUAUCAAACAGGAUUAGAUACCCCAGUAGUC